CCCCUAGAUGUUCUGGGCCGCACGCGCGCUACACUGAACAGUUCAACAAGUCUUAACCUUGGCCGAUAGGUCUGGGUAAUCUUUGAACGCUGUUCGUGAUUGGGAUAGACCUUUGCAAUUAUGGGUCUUCAACGAGGAAUGCCUAGUAAGCGCAAGUCAUCAGCUUGCGUUGAUUACGUCCCUGCCCUUUGUACACACCGCCCGUCGCUCCUACCGAUUGAAUGGUCCGGUGAAGCGUUCGGACCGUGGCCUUUGGACGGUUCGCCGUCUGUUGGCUGCGGGAAGUUCGUUAAACCUUAUCAUUUAGAGGAAGGAGAANUCGUAACA
rnacentral:rRNA from 1 species